ACUCAUCGGAGGAAGGCGAAGAAGAUGGUGGCUACGGUAUAUGGUGAGUCCACCCCGAUGGUCGGAGAUCGGUGAUAGAGGAGAGAUUCCUCUAGAUCCACUGUCUAUCUCCUCCAGAAUUUUCGUUAUACUUUUCUCUGUUCUCUGUGAGGACGACCGAUGCUCGAUCUAUGGGUUUUGGCCUUCCAGGAUCUAAUUGGGUGGGGUUUUGAAUCCCUAAUUCGUCAUCUCAGCCCUAGUUUCUCAUAAAUGUCUGUGAUUUAUAAGGUAUCUUGGUGAGUUAUUUGCUUCUUAUUAUUUCUCUUGGUUCCGAUUACUGCUGCAUUUUUUGUAUGUAUGUUGUUCAUGUUUAUUAGCCGUUGUUUGGAUUCAGCUGAAAAAUACAUGUAUUAGUGUUAAGGUGUUAAUUUGGUGUGGAUUGCUCUGAAUUUAUUCUUUGUUAAGAUAGAAUUGUGCUUUGUGAAAAUUGUGAUUUUACCUGUUGUCUACUACAAACCCAAGUUUGUUUCUUGGUGUUUAAACCCUUAGCCUUAAAGAGUAUAUUCCAGGUUUUAGUGUGUUAUGUUUGUGAGGGCUCUGAUUGUUUUGUGUAUUUUGGAAUAAUAUAGGUCAGUUUGACACAAUGAAGGAGAAUGGUAGGUCAUAAGAUCGACCGUAUAAAAUUCUGGAGGUGAAGACAUGCUUUCCACCUCUGUCAUAAUUCUUUCCAAUAAUUUAGCAUCAAUCCUCUUAUUAUUAGUAAGAUCCAACACCAUCCGUACGAAUAGCUUCUAGAGCCUAUAAAAAGUUAACAACAAUAGAAAAACUUAGAAGUGAUUGAAGAAUAGCAUGGACUGCCUAGCGUGCUAUUGAGCAGUGAACAACAUAAAGACAUUAUGGACCAUAUAUAUGAUUAUUUGCCUGAUUACUUUCUAACUACCUGCUUCUUCAUAUUUCUUUGAUGCUUAUAAGUUUUCUUUUUAUUUCAUAUGGUGUCUCUGUCAUCAUCCAAAAAAGCUAAGACUCACACAGACCACCAAGUUUAUCUCAUGUGAAAAUAUAUAUUUAUAUACAUAUGUAACAUUUAUACUUUUUUGAGGGAAAGCACUUUCCUGAGCAACAUUUCCAACAUCUAAAGCAACAUGGCUGUAGUUCUCCCACAGUUGAUAGCUGUUUCGUCUGUCACCAGUCAUAGAAAGUGUCAAUAAAUAAAAUGAAGUAAAAGGGGAGGGAUGCAACUAUAAAUAGAGAGAAUGAGUGUGUGCGUGAGUGACAGUUUGAUUAAUGGAGAAGGAACCAACUUGAACUUCAGCGCUUCUGUAAAUGCAAUGAAAGCUUCUUUACUCUUCCCUUUUAUCAUAUGCCUGCAUAAUUGGUACAACAAGAGUUUAAAGAUUGUUGAAAUGAGCUGCUAGAAUACAAAAUUAUUAACUGUUGAGCUAAUGAGCUUUUACUUGUUUUUGGGUUCAAUUUCAAAACCCAGGUAUGAAACCCUGACUACCCACUUCAUUUCUCUACUAUUUUCCUCUAUUUCAGUUUGUGUUCUUCAAUGAAUAAGUUGGGCUGAAAAUUAUUAUAUACUAUGUAAUGUGUUUGGGUAACUUUGUCUGCUUUUCUUAUGUAGCUUCCACUACUGAUCACAACGUAUUUGACCAACUCCAUUUCUUCCACUACUUCAUUUCUUCCAUUACCAAGCUUGCGAGACAUAAGCACGAAAAGAAGUGAGUAUCCCUCACAUUUAUAUAUGAUAGUAUAUUCAUUUGAGUUUGAGAUUUACAGAUGCAAUUGGUAUGCAAAUAUUAAGAUUUUACAUGUUGAGGUGAAUUCAUAAGAUCUUCUGCAAUUGGUACAUACAUAUUAAGAUCAUAAAGAAUAUGCUAAUAAGAUACUUCAAUGAGGUGAAUUCAGUUUUUGUGUAGCGCCUCUUUGUUUCGCUAUCUUUGCAUAUCUCUCUCUUAGCGAUAGAGCCACAUUGGAAUUUACUUCUAUAAUAUAUAUGUGUAUGUUAUACCAGUCAUAUGACUUGCUUGCUACUUUAAUUUGAUUCUUAUUUACGAAAUUCGCAGGUUAGAUAAUUGGCUGAUAUGGUAGAUAUGUACAAUGAAGAUCUUUACACCCUGCCUAAUAAGGAACUAUCUUGUGGUGUUAUAGCAAGUUGAGUGCUCUACAACUGCAGUUUAUUGUUUUUAACUAUUCAAAUCAG
rnacentral:lncRNA from 1 species